rnacentral:rRNA from 1 species
UCGGGGGCAUCAGUAUUCAAUUGUCAGAGGUGAAAUUCUUGGAUUUAUUGAAGACUAACUACUGCGAAAGCAUUUGCCAAGGAUGUUUUCAUUAAUCAGUGAACGAAAGUUAGGGGAUCGAAGACGAUCAGAUACCGUCGUAGUCUUAACCGUAAACUAUGCCGACUAGGGAUCGGGCGAUGUUCUUUUUCUGACUCGCUCGGCACCUUACGAGAAAUCAAAGUUUUUGGGUUCUGGGGGGAGUAUGGUCGCAAGGCUGAAACUUAAAGAAAUUGACGGAAGGGCACCACCAGGCGUGGAGCCUGCGGCUUAAUUUGACUCAA